rnacentral:rRNA from 1 species
GACAGAGGGUGCAAACGUUGCUCGGAAUCACUGGGCGUAAAGGGCGCGUAGGCGGACAAGUAAGUCGGGCGUGAAAUCCCUAGGCUCAACCUAGGAACUGCACUCGAAACUGCAUGUCUUGAGUACCGGAGAGGAAAGCGGAAUACCUGGUGUAGAGGUGAAAUUCGUAGAUAUCAGGAGGAACACCCGUGGUGUAGACGGCUUGCUGGACGGUCACUGACGCUGAGGCACGAAAGCGUGGGGAGCGAACAGG